AGAGUUUGAUCCUGGCUCAGGAUGAACGCUGGCGGCGUGCCUAAUACAUGCAAGUCGAACGGAGUGGAGCAAUCCACUGAGUGGCGAACGGGUGAGUAACGCGUUGGUGACCUGCCCCGGAGUGUGGGGUACCAGGCCGAAAGGCUUGCUAAUACCGCAUACCCAAAGAGACGGCUAGAGAGCUUUUUGGAAAGGAGUAAUCCGCUCUGGGAGGGGCCUGCGACCCAUCAGCUAGUUGGUAAGGUAACGGCCUACCAAGGCGAUGACGGGUAGGGGACCUGAGAGGGUGGCCCCCCACAAUGGAACUGAAACACGGUCCAUACACCUACGGGUGGCAGCAGUAGGGAAUAUUGCUUAAUGGGCGAAAGCCUGAAGCGGCAACGCCGCGUGUGCGAUGGAGGCCUUCGGGUUGUAAAGCACUUUUGACCGGGAAGAGGAAGGACGGUACCGGUCGAAUAAGCCUCGGCUAACUACAUGCCAGCAGCCGCGGUAAAACGUAGGAGGCGAGCGUUAUCCGGAUUUACUGGGUGUAAAGCGCGUGCAGGCGGUUGGCUAAGUUGGGUGUGAAAGCUCCUGGCUCAACUGGGAGAGGUCGCUCAAGACUGGCCGACUGGAGAGCAGUAAGGGAAGGUGGAAUUCCGGGUGUAGUGGUGAAAUGCGUAGAUAUCCGGAGGAACACCAGUGGCGAAGGCGGCCUUCUGGACUGCUUCUGACGCUCAGACGCGAAAGCUAGGGGAGCAAACGGGAUUAGAGACCCCGGUAGUCCUAGCCGUAAACGAUGUGAACUUGGCGCUGGGUGG
rnacentral:rRNA from 1 species